GUGCCUAUCAAUUACGGACUGCAGGAUGGAAUCCCAUCCUGAGUGCACACCUUUGAAUUAAUCGGAUUGCAAGCAGCUGGAUAAGGGAAAGAAGGAUGGAGUUUGGAAUUCUCAAUGGCUCCCAUUGCUGUUUCAAUCACUGGAACAUUUUGAAGUCAGGGGCUGGUGCUGUGACGCAGAGUGUUAACACCCUGGCCUGAAGUGCCGGCAUCCCAUGUGGGGGCUGGUUCGAGACCCACUGCUCCACUUCCAAUCCAUCUCUCUGCUAUUGCCUGGGAAGGCAGUGGAAGAUGGCCCAAGUCCUUGGGCCUCUGCACCAGUGUGGGAGACCAGGAAGAAGCUCUCGACUCCUGGCUUUGGACCGC